rnacentral:rRNA from 1 species
UACGGAGGGUGCGAGCGUUGUCCGGAAUCACUGGGCGUAAAGGGCGCGUAGGUGGCGCGGGUAGUCAUCGGUGAAAGCUCAGGGCUCAACCCUGAGUCGGCCGGUGAUACUCCCGUGCUUGAGUGUGGUAGAGGCCAAUGGAAUUCCGGGUGUAGCGGUGGAAUGCGUAGAGAUCGGAAAGAACACCAACGGCGAAAGCACUCUGCUGGGCCGACACUGACACUGAGAGACGAAAGCUAGGGGAGCGAAUGGG